GGGGUUGUGGCUCAGUGGUAGAGCCCUUGCCUAGCAUGUGUGAGGCCCUGGGUUCAAUUCUCAGCACCUCA
rnacentral:tRNA from 1 species